GACGAACGCUGGCGGCGUGCUUAACACAUGCAAGUCGAACGAAGAGCGACGGAAGCUUGCUUCUAUCAAUCUUAGCGGCGAACGGGUGAGUAACGCGUAAUCAACCUGCCCUUCAGAGGGGGACAACAGUUGGAAACGACUGCUAAUACCGCAUACGAUCUAAUCUCGGCAUCGAGGAUGGAUGAAAGGUGGCCUCUACAUGUAAGCUAUCACUGAAGGAGGGGAUUGCGUCUGAUUAGCUAGUUGGAGGGGUAACGGCCCACCAAGGCGAUGAUCAGUAGCCGGUCUGAGAGGAUGAACGGCCACAUUGGGACUGAGACACGGCCCAGACUCCUACGGGAGGCAGCAGUGGGGAAUCUUCCGCAAUGGACGAAAGUCUGACGGAGCAACGCCGCGUGAGUGAUGACGGCCUUCGGGUUGUAAAGCUCUGUUAAUCGGGACGAAAGGCCUUCUUGCGAAUAGUGAGAAGGAUUGACGGUACCGGAAUAGAAAACCACGGCUAACUACGUG
rnacentral:rRNA from 1 species